rnacentral:rRNA from 1 species
GACGAACGCUGGCGGCGUGCCUAAUACAUGCAAGUCGAGCGGACGGAUGGGAGCUUGCUCCCAGACCGUCAGCGGCGGACGGGUGAGUAACACGUGGGCAACCUGCCUGUAAGACUGGGAUAACUCCGGGAAACCGGGGCUAAUACCGGAUAACUCUUUCCCUCACAUGAGGGAAAGCUGAAAGAUGGCAUCUCGCUAUCACUUACAGAUGGGCCCGCGGCGCAUUAGCUAGUUGGUGAGGUAACGGCUCGCCAAGGCGACGAUGCGUAGCCGACCUGAGAGGGUGAUCGGCCACACUGGGACUGAGACACGGCCCAGACUCCUACGGGAGGCAGCAGUAGGGAAUCUUCCGCAAUGGACGAAAGUCCGACGGAGCAACGCCGCGUGAGUGAUGAAGGUGUUCGGAUCGUAAAACUCUGUUGUCAGGGAAGAACAAGUACCGGAGUAACUGCCGGUACCUUGACGGUACCUGACCAGAAAGCCACGGCUAACUACGUG